rnacentral:rRNA from 1 species
AUUGAACGCUGGCGGCAGGCUUAACACAUGCAAGUCGAGCGGGGGAAGGUAGCUUGCUACUGGACCUAGCGGCGGACGGGUGAGUAAUGCUUAGGAAUCUGCCUAUUAGUGGGGGACAACAUCUCGAAAGGGAUGCUAAUACCGCAUACGUCCUACGGGAGAAAGCAGGUGAUCUUCGGACCCUGCGCUAAUAGAUGAGCCUAAGUCGGAUUAGCUAGUUGGUGGGGUAAAGGCCUACCAAGGCGACGAUCUGAAGCGGGUCUGAGAGGAUGAUCCGCCACACUGGGACUGAGACACGGCCCAGACUCCUACGGGAGGCAGCAGUGGGGAAUAUUGGACAAUGGGGGGAACCCUGAUCCAGCCAUGCCGCGUGUGUGAAGAAGGCCUUAUGGUUGUAAAGCACUUUAAGCGAGGAGGAGGCUACUUUAGUUAAUACCUAGAGAUAGUGGACGUUACUCGCAGAAUAAGCACCGGCUAACUCUGUGCCAGCCGCCGCAGUAA